rnacentral:rRNA from 1 species
CAGCCGCCGCGGUAAUACGUAGGUGGCAAGCGUUGUCCGGAAUUAUUGGGCGUAAAGGGCUCGCAGGCGGUUUCUUAAGUCUGAUGUGAAAGCCCCCGGCUCAACCGGGGAGGGUCAUUGGAAACUGGGAAACUUGAGUGCAGAAGAGGAGAGUGGAAUUCCACGUGUAGCGGUGAAAUGCGUAGAGAUGUGGAGGAACACCAGUGGCGAGGGCGACUCUCUGGUCUGUAACUGACGCUGAGGAGCGAAAGCGUGGGGAGCGAACAGGAUUAGAUACCCGCGUAGUCCCUGUCUCUUAUAC